UAUAAAUGGAGAUAAGUAUAAAGGUUAAAACUAUUUGUUCUAUACACAUACAUAUAUAUGAAUGAUUUACUAUAUUAACAGUCUCUUCAGCCACAAUUGGUUGGGUUGUUGUUGGAGAUAUAUUAUUUUCUCACUCCCGACUCCCGUAUAAUAUUUGUUUGAAUUGAUGUAAUAAAAUUUAAUAAAAUAAAAAAAAGUAUUUCCUCGUAGUUAGAUUCCCCCCUCCUAAUUUGGGUAUGCUGCUCCAAAAAUUGCAGCAGCGAGAAGCACCAGAACUUUAGAGAAUACAAAUCGUGUAUACCAGCUCCGCUUUUUCGUGAAUUGCGCACUUCACGAAUUUCUCGUAAAUAUUGUGUUCUUAUAUUUUUCCAUUUUUUUUAUUUCACACACGUUUAUGUUUGGCACGUUUAGCUCCUCACAGAUUUUGUUAAAAGCUUCAGCUUUUACAUUCCGGUCCAAAUAUAACGGUGACUUUAUGCUAUAAUUACUCCUGUGCUUCUACCAAAUAUAUUAAUUUUUCAAUUAGCGCUUUUGUCCACUUUACUUUUUCCGCCAUAUUUAUUUAAAAUAAUCGAAUAUUAAUUAACAGAAAAUUUAAAAAUUAAUUUAUUCUCACCACUUUUAAAAAUUUCAUAAACACUGUAAAUUAACAUCCUCACGCUUCAAUAUUCAAAUAACAACGCAACAGGCAUUAAGUGUAGCGCAGCCGUACAGCACAAAAAUUUGAGAAAAUGAUAUGAAAGAGAAUGAGAAAAAAACUCGUGAACUGUGAACGUAAUGGGCGACAGCAAAAGAAAAUCGCCCGAGAAUUAGCAACAAGAGUUGACGCGUAUAAUAACAGACUUAGUGAUCGCGGCCGUUUGUUUCGAUUGGUGUUUGUUUUAUUGUUUAGGUGUUUUUACUUUUCGCGCCCGUUUUAUGUUUUUUGCGUUCGUAAAAUUUGUAUAUUGUGUUUUUUGUAAGUUUUUGUUUUGUCACUGCAGUUUUGGUUAUUGCAUAUAUGCCCAUAUUUUUGCCCAAACACCCCCAUUUUUUUGUUUUGCUCCAAAGCACUUUUUUGUGUUUUGUCUUUUUGUUGUAUAUGUUACUUUUUUUGUAUUUAUUGGGUCUAAUUAUUGAAUCCGUUUCGAUCGAUAUACUUGACAAUUCGAUCGAAAAUUAUUACCGUAUCGAAAAUUAAGUUUUCGAUGCAGUUGAACUUAAUUGUCAACUUGAUAAAAUACAUUCCGUGGCUAACAGAUGGCGCUAAUUUUGAAAUAAUUGAAACCGCAAAAUCGAAAAUAUUUGUCGAAAUCCAUUCGUUUAUCAGUGAACUGCGUAAAUUGGCAAAAAUGGAGCAUUUAGAGAAGAAACAAAAAUACACCAACGAAAAUCAACCAACAAAUUCAAAUCACUCAUAUCCCAUAUGUGAGAAUCAUGACUACUGCCGGAAUACUUAGCACAAACGUAUCGUAUUUGCAUCUUGUGGUCGCACACCUACAUACGAAAAACAUAUAUGUAUAUAUAGAAUACUGAGUGAAAAGUUAAUUUUGAAAAAGCCUAACCACCAUAACAUUCAGAUUUGAGAAACCUUUGCGGUUAAAAUACAGAUGUUUAUCUCUUGACGGUGCCAUUAUCUUUACGUGAGUUCCAUAAACUGCCAUUUCCACACCAGAAAUUUUUGAUUUUCCAAAAAAAUAUGUUGUUUUCUUCCUCGCUGGCGAUCAAAUCAAUGGAAAUCCAUCUUGAACAUAGCCUGUACUCAAGAAUGUUGAGUACUUCAUCUAAUACAACACAAAACGUCGAUUGGGCCAUAUUUAUAUUGAAGACCUUUCCAAUACAAUGUUGAUAACCUUGUCUUUUGUCAUUUCCAAAUUAAUUUUCGCAUUCCCCCAAAAUCCUAAAUAGUUCAACUCACUUAAGGUCAUCCAUUUCCAACACGUCUUUUGAAAUAUUCCUCAAAUUUCAGCGCUCACUACGAAUGUUUACACUAUUUUCAUCAUCACUGCAUUUAGCUGAAUUUACCAAAUUUGAGUAGGCAACACUGCUCAAAAAUGGCCGAUUUUUGCUAUUUUUUGACAGAUGUCGCUUGAAGUCUGCCGCCUCCUUUGCGUUUGCAGCAUCAGAGCUGUCUAAUACUAUGUUCGGACCGACAUUGAAAACAUUAUGAAAACACAUUUGGAUGUUGUGGAAUCUAAGUCGCUCGGACCGACAAUGUGUGUUUUCGAUGAGUUUUCACUGACAACUAUCAAUAGCGGCGUUCUCUUGCUCUUGCAAGAUUGCGCAAUGACACAAAAUGCAAAAAUCCUAUACCAAAAUAUGCAAGGCCAAGAGAGCACCCAUUGCGGAAUCUAGUGAUAUAUGACGUGGUUUUGGUCUGACAUAUUUAUAGCCAUUGCAAAUAAUUUUCUGCGUGUGUUUGUUGCUGUGCCGUUGCACCAAGAGGAAAAUUCUGCAAUUUCCUGUAAAAAAUAUUGUACGGAAACAGAGAAAACCGCCAUUUAAUGUAAUUCAUGCAACUAAUUUUUAUAUUAUAAAUAUAAAUGCCCAACAUUUUUUGAUGAAUAAAAACAUUGUUCUAGUUUAA